rnacentral:rRNA from 1 species
AUUGAACGCUGGCGGCAUGCCUUACACAUGCAAGUCGAACGGUAACAGGUCUUCGGAUGCUGACGAGUGGCGAACGGGUGAGUAAUACAUCGGAACGUGCCUAGUAGUGGGGGAUAACUACUCGAAAGAGUGGCUAAUACCGCAUGAGAUCUACGGAUGAAAGCAGGGGAUCGCAAGACCUUGUGCUACUAGAGCGGCCGAUGGCAGAUUAGGUAGUUGGUGGGAUAAAAGCUUACCAAGCCGACGAGCUGUAGCUGGUCUGAGAGGACGAUCAGCCACACGGGGACUGAGACACGGCCCAGACUCCUACGGGAGGAAGCAGUGGGGAAUUUUGGACAAUGGGCGCAAGCCUGAUCCAGCAAUGCCGCGUGCAGGAUGAAGGCCUUCGGGUUGUAAACUGCUUUUGUACGGAACGAAAAGCCCUGGGUUAAUACCCUGGGGUCAUGACGGUACCGUAAGAAUAAGCACCGGCUAACUACGUGCCAGCCGCCGCCGUAACAC